rnacentral:rRNA from 1 species
GACAGAGGGUGCAAACGUUGUUCGGAAUUACUGGGCGUAAAGCGUGUGUAGGCGGUCUACUAAGUCGGGUGUGAAAGCCCUGGGCUCAACCCAGGAAGUGCACUCGAAACUGGCAGGCUAGAGUACUGGAGAGGUUGGUGGAAUUCUCGGUGUAGAGGUGAAAUUCGUAGAUAUCGAGAGGAACAUCGGUGGCGAAGGCAGGUCUCUGGGCCGAUAUUGACGCUGAGGAGCGAAAGCGUGGGGAGCGAACAGG